CCUACGGGAGGCAGCAGUGAGGAAUAUUGGUCAAUGGGCGCGAGCCUGAACCAGCCAAGUAGCGUGAAGGAUGACUGCCCUACGGGUUGUAAACUUCUUUUAUAAAGGAACAAAGUCAGGCACGUGUGCCUUUCCGAAUGUACUUUAAGAAAAAGGAUCGGCUAACUCCGUGCCAGCAGCCGCGGUAAUACGGAGGUCCCGAGCGUUAUUCGGAUUCAAUGGGUGUAAAGGGUGCGUAGACUGGUUGUUAAGUCAGUUGUGAAAGUCUGCGGCUCAACCGUAAAAUUGCAAUUGAUACUGGCAGCCUUGAGUACAGUAGGGGUAGGCGGAAUUCGCGGUGUAGCAGUGAAAUGCGUAGAUAUCGCGAAGAACUCCGGUGGCGAAGGCAGGCUCCUAAACUGCCACUGACAUUGAUGCUCGAAGGUGAGGGUAUCAAACGGGAUUAGAUACCCUUGUAGUC
rnacentral:rRNA from 1 species